GAUCAUGGCUCAGAUUGAACGCUGGCGGCAGGCCUAACACAUGCAAGUCGAGCGGGGUUUUCGGACCUAGCGGCGGACGGGUGAGUAAUGCGUAGGAAGCUGCCCGAUAGAGGGGGAUACCAGUUGGAAACGACUGUUAAUACCGCAUAAUGUCUACGGACCAAAGUGUGGGACCUUCGGGCCACAUGCUAUCGGAUGCGCCUACGUGGGAUUAGCUAGUUGGUGAGGUAAUGGCUCACCAAGGCGACGAUCUCUAGCUGGUUUGAGAGGAUGAUCAGCCACACUGGAACUGAGACACGGUCCAGACUCCUACGGGAGGCAGCAGUGGGGAAUA
rnacentral:rRNA from 1 species